rnacentral:sRNA from 1 species
UUUUAGCCCCGAUAGUAGCGAAAAUCCUCUAGUGCCGGGGUUCGGUACUAGAGAUUGUAGCGGAUAGCGGGACGGCGU